rnacentral:rRNA from 1 species
CACUUGGGGAUAACCUUGCGAAAGUAAGACUAAUACCCAAUGACGUCUCUAGAAGACAUCUGAAGGAGAUUAAAGAUUUAUCGGUGAUGGAUGGGGAUGCGUCUGAUUAGCUUGUUGGCGGGGUAACGGCCCACCAAGGCUACGAUCAGUAGGGGUUCUGAGAGGAAGGUCCCCCACAUUGGAACUGAGACACGGUCCAAACUCCUACGGGAGGCAGCAGUGAGGAAUAUUGGUCAAUGGACGAGAGUCUGAACCAGCCAAGUAGCGUGCAGGAUGACGGCCCUAUGGGUUGUAAACUGCUUUUAUAAGGGGAAUAAAGUGAGUCUCGUGAGACUUUUUGCAUGUACCUUAUGAAUAAGGACCGGCUAAUUCCGUGCCCCCCCCCCCGCGGUAAUACGGAAGGUCCGGGCGUUAUCCGGAUUUAUUGGAUAUAAAGGGAGCGUAGGCCGGAGAUUAAGCGUGUUGUGAAAUGUAGAUGCUCAACAUCUGAACUGCAGCGCGAACUGGUUUCCUUGAGUACGCACAAAGUGGGCGGAAUUCGUGGUGUAGCGGUGAAAUGCUUAGAUAUCACGAAGAACUCCGAUUGCGAAGGCAGCUCACUGGAGCGCAACUGACGCUGAAGCUCGAAAGUGCGGGUAUCGAACAGGAUUAGAUACCCUGGUAG